rnacentral:rRNA from 1 species
AGACUGCGGAAGGCUCAGUAAAUCAGUUAUAAUCUAUUCGAAAGUAUACCCAUUGGAUAACCGUGGGAAAUCUAGAGCUAAUACAUGCGUUAACAGUACUCAUUGCCUCGGUAGUGGGUACUUGCAUUUAUUGGACAAAACCAAAUGCUGCUCAGCCUCACGGUCGAGUAGUAGGGCGAAUCUAGAUAACUUAGCAGAUCGCAUGGCCUUGAGCCGGCGACAUUUCGAUUGAAUUUCUGCCCUAUCAACUAGUUGGUAAGGUAGUGGCUUACCAAGGUUACAACGGGUAACGGGGGAUCAGGGUUCGAUUCCGGAGAGGGAGCCUGAGAAACGGCUACCACAUCCAAGGAAGGCAGCAGGCGCGUAAAUUACCCAAUCCAGACAAUGGGAGGUGGUGACCAGAAGUACUGGGUAGUAGUCAAUGACUACUAAUCCCGGAAUGAGCAUAAAGUAAAAAUUUAGUCGAGUAACAACUGGAGGGCAAGUCUGGUGCCAGCAGCCGCGGUAAUUCCAGCUCCAGUAGCAUGUCGUAAAGUUGUUGCGUUUAAAACGCUCGUAGUUGGAUCAUACGGUAUCUCUUAGUUAAUUAACAUAAUACGACACUGAAUCCAUCUUUGCUCACAAUCGCUGGUUAAGUCUGGUGUUGAGAGUAUUGUGUGGAGUCUAUUGUGUUUAAUUUCCGCUAUUUGAUACUACUUUUGCAUAAGAAUGAUGAUUGGCCUUCAGUGCGUCGGUCAUUGUGUCUUAUGGAGUGUGCCUUGAAUAAAUCAGAGUGCUUAAAGCAGGCAAUUGCCUGAAUGAUACAGCAUGGAAACGAACAAACGUGUAGAGUAUAACGUAUCUUUAGAUGUACUUGUACAUUUGAAAGCGUUAUACAUCACCAACCACCAUGUACGGAUGUUGGUUUCCGUAUUGGGGUGAUGAUUAAAACGAGCGGUUGGGGGCAUUGGUAUUUGGCCGCGAGAGGUGAAAUUCUUAGACCGGCCAAGGACUAACAAAAGCGAAGGCAUUUGCCAAGACCGUGUCGAUUAAUCAAGAACGAUAGAGAAAGGUUCGAAGACGAUCAGAUACCGUCCUAGUUUUCUCUGUAAACUAUGCCAACCCGAGAUCAGUCUAGAGUAUAUAAUUAGGCUCUAGAUUGGUCCCCCUGGGAAACCUCAAGUUUUUGGGUUACGGGGGGAGUAUGGUCGCAAGGCUGAAACUUAAAGGAAUUGACGGAAGGGCACCACCAGGGGUGGAGCCUGCGGCUUAAUUUGACUCAACACGGGAAAACUCACCGGUUCCGGACGUUAAAAGGAUAGACAGACUGAUAGAUCUUUCUUGAUAUGACGUGUGGUGGUGCAUGGCCGUUCUUAGUUCGUGAAGUGAUUUGUCAGAUUAAUUUCGGUAACGGACGAGAUCUACUUCUCCAUUUACUGUCCGAAAUAGUUGGCAUACGGUGUGUAAGCAUCGUGUAUUGACUCUAGUCGCGAGUUCCAAAUGGUAGUUUACGCUAUUGUUUGGUUUUGGUGACUUUUCUUUCGGAUUGGCGUGUACGGCAACGUAUGCGUCUGCAUGGAGAGACAACUGAAUUAAUUCAGGGGAAGCUAGGCAAUAACAGGUCUGUGAUGCCCUUAGACGUACCGGGCUGCACGCGCGCUACAAUGAUGCCAACAACGAGUUAUCUGCUCCGAAAGGAGUGGGAAAUCUUUCAAUUGUCAUCGUGAUGGGGAUUGUCCAUUGUAACUUGGACAUGAAAUAGGAAUCCCUUGUACGUGCACUUCACUUAGAGUGCGCGGAAUGAGUCCCUGCCCUUUGUACACACCGCCCGUCGCUACUACCGAGUGAAUGGUGUCAUGAUGCGUUGGGACCGGACGCCGUUCAGUUUCGGCUGAUUGGUGCUGGGAUCAAUGUAAAAUGG